CGCGUCCAGACUUAACGCUUGGUUGUACAAUUGCUAUUGCUGAAAAAUAAAUCGAUUCAAUACGAAAUAAAAGUCAUUCACUGAAUGUCUUUCAAAGAUAUCACAUAGCUUUCUAUUGUACCUUCAACUGUGUGAUAUUCUAGCAGCUAUUCUGAAAAAAAUGCAGUCUCAAUAACAUAACCAUUCAAGUUACUCUCCGUCUUCAUUUGAAACGAUGGAUUUUCCAUCUGUUGAGAGGGCAGUGAAUGUGUACAGAGAAUGUGCUACUGCGCCAACUCUCUCAUCUGCUUCCAUACAAAAGACUGGAGAUUGUUUAGUUAGUGUACAUUCAACGUGGAGUCAGAGAGAUUUGGAAAGAGAAACGACCGUCAAGUUUAGAAAGACUCAUAUUGUGACAAUAGACAGCAAAGGACAAGUCGGAAACAUCAUUGAUCCAGCGACCAGCACUGAACUUCAUUCCGAGCAACGGGUUCGAUUGUCACCAUCUGGAAAACUAAAGGCUGUGUUGAGGAAAGUCAAGGAUAGGAAAGGAGAUGAAAAACAAUACUUAGAGGUGUGGAACGAUAUUGGAAAGAUUCAUAACAUCAAUUUGACUGCUCUUGACAAACAUGGCAAAGUUUAUGAAGAUGAUGAAUUUGGAUGUUUGGAGUGGUCUGGAAGUGAAUCUCAGCUAUUGUAUGUGGCAGAGAAGAAGCAACCCAAAUCUGUCUCCUAUUUUGACAAGUCCAAUGAUAGGAGCUCGGAUGAGUGUUCUGAAGUGGAUUCUAAAAACAGGGAUUCAGCAAUUAAGGGAGAAAAAUUUAUCUACCGCCAAGAUUGGGGUGAAAUGUUAGUUGGGAAGCAUUGUCCAGUUCCUUGCAUCUUGAACCUUCAGACUGGUCAAGUGACCAUGCCAGAGGGUCUUCCCAAGGAUGUCUCUAUCGGUCAAGCAGUCUGGACUCCUGAUGAUAGCGGGAUAGUGUUCGUUGGAUGGGAGAACGAGCCCUACAGACUAGGAAUGGUCUAUUGUGCAAAUAGAAGGAGUUCCAUUUAUCAUCUGGAUCUGUCAAGUCAAACCUGCAAUGCCGUCAGCGCAACAGACGAGUCUGUUAGGUCACCAAGUUUUAGCCCAGAUGGGUCUAAACUGCUAUAUCUUCAAAAUUCCUGUCAUGGACCUCCCAUGAAAUGUGCCCAAUUAAAAGUGUGUGAGUGGGAGACUAAGGAGACAAAUAUUGCAGUCGAUGUAGUUCAAUACCCUACAGAAAAAAAUCCCUUUCCUGGUUUAUACAUUGGUCGUUUUCAGCAGCAAUGUUGGUUGGAUAAUGCGACUAUUCUUGCAAGUACACCGUGGAGAAGUAGCCAGGCAAUCAUUUCAAUAAACAUCUGUACAGGGGAAGUGAUAAGACUUACCGAUUCCUCAGAAUAUGGGAGUUGGCUUUUCUGUGACAUUAGAGAGAAAAUGAUUCUAGCAUACAGAUCGUCACCAACCAAUUCAGGUCAACUGGUAAUUGGUAUUAUACCUGAGAAGGGUGAUAUUUCAGACAUCAGAUGGACCCCAUUAAACAAACCCAGUCUUACCUUGCCUGACGUAUCAUGGUCUGUCAUUACUCUCAAACCUGAGCCUCAGCAAGGAAGCAAUAUUGAUUUUGAAACCAUCAUCUUGAAACCAACUGGAGAUUCACUCAAACUGGAGAAGAAGCCUCCUCUUUUAGUAAUGCCCCAUGGUGGUCCUCAUUCAAUAUUCUGUGCAGGUUAUCUCAUGUUUGCUGGAGCAUUCUGUCGACUUGGAUUUGUUGUCACGUGUGUCAAUUUCCGAGGUUCAUUAGGUUUCGGACAAGCUUCCAUCUAUUCGAUCCCUGGCCAUUUAGGAAUAAAUGACGUACAAGAUGUUCAGACCACAGUGGAAACAGUAAUAAGGCAAGGUCUUGUUGAUCCAGAGAGAAUCGCCAUUUCGGGUGGCUCGCAUGCUGGUUUCAUCGCUACACACAUGAUUGCGCAGUAUCCAGAAAUGUACAAAGUUUGUGUCACAAGGAAUCCAGUCACUGACAUUGCAGCCAUGCUUGCGGGUACAGAUAUGCCACCUUGGACAAUGACAGAAGUUGGUAUUGACUUUGAUUACGCCAAAUCUCCAUCAGCUGAGAUGUAUGCAAAAAUGUUCAACUGUUCUCCCAUGGCUCAUAUUGAUAAGGUGAAAGCUCCAACUCUGAUAAUGCUCGGAUCGGACGACCUUCGUGUUCCACCCCAGCAGGGCAUACGCUACCAUCAAAUGCUCAAAGCACGAGGUGUCAAAGCAAAAUUAUUGAUGUAUCAUGGAAACAGUCAUCCCAUUAGCAACGUUGACGCAGAGGCAGAUCGUUUCAUGAACAUGUAUACGUGGGUAGCACAGCACCUAUAAACAAUAAACUGAUCCUCUAUUGUGAUGACACGACAUAAGCUCCAGCGACAUUUGCUCUUGUCUUAAUUUAGCAGAGGUCGACUCGUGUUAGAGUUAGUGGAGGAUAAAGCAUUCAAGGCACAGAUGCAGUAGGCCUAUAGAGGUCAGUGGAUCGAAC
rnacentral:misc_RNA from 1 species